CUCAUAAAAGGGCGGGACAAAGGGUCCCCCAACCCGCGAGGGGGAGCCAAUUUCAGAAACCCCAAAGUAGUCCGGAUCGCAGUCUGCAACUCGACUGCGUGAAGUCGGAAUCGCUAGUAUCGCGGAUCAGAAUGUCGCGGUGAAUACGUUGAGGGUCUUGUACACACCGCCCGUCACACCAUGGGAGUGGGUUUCACCAGAAGUAGGAGAGUAUGACGUAAGGA
rnacentral:rRNA from 1 species